rnacentral:rRNA from 1 species
CAACGAAUAUUCCGCAAUGGGCGCAAGCCUGACGGAGCGACGCCGCGUGGGGGAUGAAGUCCUUCGGGAUGUAAACCUCAAUAGUUUGAUAGGAAGUAACCCGGGCUAACACUCCGGGAAGUUGACCAACGAACGAAAGGGGCGGCUAACUCCGUGCCAGCAGCCGCGGUAAUACGGAGGCCCCGAGCGUUGUUCGGAAUUACUGGGCUUAAAGCGCGUGUAGGCGGGUCGGUAAGUGCCUUGUGAAAUC